AGAGUUUGAUCAUGGCUCAGGACGGACGCUGGCGGCGUGCCUAAUACAUGCAAGUCGAGCGAGCUUGCCUAGAUGAUUUUAGUGCUUGCACUAAAUGAAACUAGAUACAAGCGAGCGGCGGACGGGUGAGUAACACGUGGGUAACCUGCCCAAGAGACUGGGAUAACACCUGGAAACAGAUGCUAAUACCGGAUAACAACACUAGACGCAUGUCUAGAGUUUGAAAGAUGGUUCUGCUAUCACUCUUGGAUGGACCCGCGGUGCAUUAGCUAGUUGGUAAGGUAACGGCUUACCAAGGCAAUGAUGCAUAGCCGAGUUGAGAGACUGAUCGGCCACAUUGGGACUGAGACACGGCCCAAACUCCUACGGGAGGCAGCAGUAGGGAAUCUUCCACAAUGGACGAAAGUCUGAUGGAGCAACGCCGCGUGAGUGAAGAAGGGUUUCGGCUCGUAAAGCUCUGUUGGUAGUGAAGAAAGAUAGAGGUAGUAACUGGCCUUUAUUUGACGGUAAUUACUUAGAAAGUCACGGCUAACUACGUGCCAGCAGCCGCGGUAAUACGUAGGUGGCAAGCGUUGUCCGGAUUUAUUGGGCGUAAAGCGAGUGCAGGCGGUUCAAUAAGUCUGAUGUGAAAGCCUUCGGCUCAACCGGAGAAUCGCAUCAGAAACUGUUGAACUUGAGUGCAGAAGAGGAGAGUGGAACUCCAUGUGUAGCGGUGGAAUGCGUAGAUAUAUGGAAGAACACCAGUGGCGAAGGCGGCUCUCUGGUCUGCAACUGACGCUGAGGUUCGAAAGCAUGGGUAGCGAACAGGAUUAGAUACCCUGGUAGUCCAUGCCGUAAACGAUGAGUGCUAAGUGUUGGGAGGUUUCCGCCUCUCAGUGCUGCAGCU
rnacentral:rRNA from 1 species